rnacentral:lncRNA from 1 species
UCCGGCAGAGCGGAAGCGGCGGCGGGAGCUUCCGGGAGGGCGGCUCGCAGGUAGAGCAGAGCCGGAGCCAGGUGCAGGCCAUUGGAGAGAAGGUCUCCUUGGCCCAGGCCAAGAUUGAGAAGAUCAAGGGCAGCAAGAAGGCCAUCAAGGUGUUCUCCAGUGCCAAGUACCCUGCUCCAGGGCGCCUGCAGGAAUAUGGCUCCAUCUUCACGGGCGCCCAGGACCCUGGCCUGCAGAGACGCCCCCGCCACAGGAUCCAGAGCAAGCACCGCCCCCUGGACGAGCGGGCCCUGCAGGAGAAGCUGAAGGACUUUCCUGUGUGCGUGAGCACCAAGCCGGAGCCCGAGGACGAUGCAGAAGAGGGACUUGGGGGUCUUCCCAGCAACAUCAGCUCUGUCAGCUCCUUGCUGCUCUUCAACACCACCGAGAACCUGUAUGGCCAGAGGGCAGGGCCGAGGGGUGUGGGCGGGAGGCCCGGCCUGGCUUAGUGGGGACCCAGGGCAUCAGACACAGGUACAGCACAUAGGCCAGGAGCCAGGGGGUGACGGGUGGCUCGGCUCGGGAGGCCUGGGACCCCACAGUGCACGCUGUGCCCCUGAUGAUGUGGGAGAGGAACAUGGGCUCAGGACAGCGGGUGUCAGCUUGCCUGACCCCCAUGUCGCCUCUGUAGGUAGAAGAAGUAUGUCUUCCUGGACCCCCUGGCUGGUGCUGUAACAAAGACCCAUGUGAUGCUGGGGGCAGAGACAGAGGAGAAGCUGUUUGAUGCCCCCUUGUCCAUCAGCAAGAGAGAGCAGCUGGAACAGCAG